UAUACGCCCUUCGGGGGAAAGAAUUUCGGUGAGGGAUCGGCCCGCGUUAGAUUAGUUAGUUGGUGGGGUAAUGGCCUACCAAGACUACGAUCUAUAGCUGGUUUGAGAGGAUGAUCAGCAACACUGGGACUGAGACACGGCCCAGACUCCUACGGGAGGCAGCAGUGGGGAAUCUUAGACAAUGGGGGCAACCCUGAUCUAGCGAUGCCGCGUGAGUGAUGAAGGCCUUAGGGUCGUAAAGCUCUUUCGCCUGUGAUGAUAAUGACAGUAGCAGGUAAAGAAACCCCGGCUAACUCCGUGCCAGCAGCCGCGGUAAUACGGAGGGGGUUAGCGUUGUUCGGAAUUACUGGGCGUAAAGCGCACGUAGGCGGAUUAGUCAGUCAGAGGUGAAAUCCCAGGGCUCAACCCUGGAACUGCCUUUGAUACUGCUAGUCUUGAGUUCGAGAGAGGUAAGUGGAAUUCCGAGUGUAGAGGUGAAAUUCGUAGAUAUUCGGAGGAACACCAGUGGCGAAGGCGGCUUACUGGCUCGAUACUGACGCUGAAGUGCGAAAGUGUGGGGAGCAAACAGGAUUAGAUACCCUGGUAGUCCACACCGAAAACGAUGAAAUGCC
rnacentral:rRNA from 1 species